AGCUCCAAUAGCGUAUGCUAAAGUUGUUGCAGUUAAAAAGCUCGUAGUCGGAUUUUUCGCUGUCAGCUUUGACGGGCGGACACCGGGGCCUUACUGGGUUCCGGGCCGCUCAGCUGGCAGUAUCAUUUUUGGUAAACUUCUGGCGGUCCAUUCAUUUGGGCCGUUAUAAAAGCGUGCCGGGUCAAACCGGUGCGUGGAGUUACCAAUCGUUUACUGUGAAGAAACUUGAGUGUUCAAAGCAAGCAUUCUCUGCCUGAAAAAUUCAGCAUGGGAUAAUGGAAUAGGCUUACGCGUCUAUUUUGCCGGUUUUCGGACUUUUGCGUGAGAAUGGUCGAUAGGGGCGGUCGGGGGCACUCGUACCCAGCGGUCAGAGGUGAAAUUCUUGGAUUCGCGGGAGACG
rnacentral:rRNA from 1 species